CUAACCUACGGGGGGCAGCAGUGGGGAAUAUUGCGCAAUGGGGGGAACCCUGACGCAGCAACGCCGCGUGCAGGAAGAAGGUCUUCGGAUUGUAAACUGUUGUCGCAGGGGAAGAAGACAGUGACGGUACCCUGUGAGAAAGCCCCGGCUAACUACGUGCCAGCAGCCGCGGUAAUACGUAGGGGGCAAGCGUUAUCCGGAUUUACUGGGUGUAAAGGGAGCGUAGACGGCAGCGCAAGUCUGGAGUGAAAUGCCGGGGCCCAACCCCGGAACUGCUUUGGAAACUGUGCGGCUCGAGCGCGGGG
rnacentral:rRNA from 1 species